UGGCAACUUUAUGCAACGUGUCAUUGAUGCGUCCAUCAAGUGUCAACUUCAAACGUCAAAGUAUAUAACGCCACCUAAUCAAAAAGUGACAUCACCAGAAUACAAACAAAGCAAUUGUUUUGACUACUGAAUUUGGAAGAAUAAUUGAGAUUCGCUAUUUCUUUGUCGUCAUCAUAGUUUUUCCUACUAACUAUAAUUUAUUAGAGACAAACAAAAUAAAACAAGUUUGCGCGUAAUUUAAUUGACUAAUUUGCAUUGUCCAUGAUGUCUUACAAACACAAGUAGCGGAUCUUUAUUGUUUGCGUAUAUUUUACUGCGAUUGUUGUGAGAAGACACAGUUUCCAUGUUUUGGGACCAUGUAUACAGAAAUAGGCAUAUUAUGCAGGAAUUUGAAGAUAUUGAGGUUCACAAAACGAGUGUUUCGGUGUUCGUAGCGUUAUUUUACUUAGAAAUGCUGUACAUAUUGAUCAUGACGCUUUCAAUUCUAAACAGAUUGAAUCAGAACCUCACUUCCUAAUGUAUUUCUAAUUGAGAGGUUGGAAUAUUCAAUCAGGAUGGAAAUUGGAAUUACUAUGAGUCUCAAAAUUUAGGUGUUGGGGUGGGAAUAGUAAUUAUGUUUGUAUUGGAAGCAAACUUUUUCACUGUUAUUUUAAACCAAUUAAUAUAUUAUUUUUAAUAAAGUGUGUUCCUUAUAGCAUCUAUAAGAAACAACUUAAA